rnacentral:rRNA from 1 species
UACGUAGGGGGCAAGCGUUACUCGGAUUUACUGGGCGUAAAGCGCGUGUAGGCGGCCCACUAAGUCUGAUGUGAAAGCCCGGGGCUCACCCCCGGAAGUGCAUUGGAAACUGGUGGACUCGAGUCCCGGAGAGGAGAGUGGAAUUCCUGGUGUAGCGGUGAAAUGCGUAGAUAUCAGGAGGAACACCGGUGGCGAAGGCGGCUCUCUGGACGGUGACUGACGCUGAGACGCGAAAGCGUGGGGAGCAAACAGG